UACGAAGGGGGCUAGCGUUGCUCGGAUUGACUGGGCGUAAAGGGCGCGUAGGCGGUUUGUACAGUCAGACGUGAAAUUCCCGGGCUCAACCUGGGGGCUGCGUUUGAUACGUGCAGACUUGAGUUCGGAAGAGGGUCGUGGAAUUCCCAGUGUAGAGGUGAAAUUCGUAGAGAUCUGGAAGAACACCAAAGGCGAAGGCAGCAUCCUGGGAAGUUCCUGACGCUCGGGUGCGAAAGCCAGGGGGAGCGAACGGG
rnacentral:rRNA from 1 species